CAUCACUACGCUAGAUGCAUAUCAAUAAGCGGAGGAAAAGAAACUAACAAGGAUUCCCCUAGUAACGGCGAGUGAAGCGGGAAGAGCUCAAAUUUGAAAUCUUAAAGGGUUUCCCUUUACGAAUUGUAGUUUAAAGAAGUGUUUUCUGUUGGAGUUUCGGUAAAAGUUCUUUGGAAUAGGACAUCAUAGAGGGUGAGAAUCCCGUAUUUGACCGUUACUUUCCAGCUGUGUGAUACACUUUCAAAGAGUCGGAUUGUUUGGGAAUGCAGUCCAAAAUGGGUGGUAAAUUUCAUCUAAAGCUAAAUAUUGGCGAGAGACCGAUAGCGAACAAGUACCGUGAGGGAAAGAUGAAAAGAACUUUGAAAAGAGAGUUAAACAGUACGUGAAAUUGUCAAAAGGGAAGCGUUUGACACCAGUGUUGUUUAGUUGAAAAUCAAUUCAAUAGUUUUUGAUUCUAAGCUAGUAUUGACUUCAUCAGCUUGCUGCUUUCUUCUCAGAAAUUAUUGAAUGCACUUUUCAGUUAACAAGUCAACAUCAAUUUCUUUUGUUGUAAAAGGGUAAGAGGAAGGUGGCUUGCGCUUCGGCUCAAGUGUUUAUAGCCUUUUAUCUCUGCAAUCGGAGAGAUUGAGGUCUGCAGCGUAGAUCCUUCGGGGUUAGAUACAUUGGUGCUAUGCUAUAGCCUUGUAUAGACAACUUGUUGACUAUGCUCAGUCAUGUAGCUUACUCGCUGAUGCUAUUUUACCUACGCUUAGGAUGUUGACACACGCGCGUGCUCG
rnacentral:rRNA from 1 species